GCAAGUCGAACGGAAACGAUGGAAGCUUGCUUCCAGGCGUCGAGUGGCGGACGGGUGCGUAACGCGUAGGAAUCUACCUAGUAGUGGGGGACAACUCGGAGAAAUCCGAGCUAAUACCGCAUACACCCUACGGGGAAAAGGGGGCCUCUUCUUGAAAGCUCUCGCUAUUAGAUGAGCCUGCGUCGGAUUAGCUAGUUGGUGGGGUAAAGGCCUACCAAGGCGACGAUCCGUAGCUGGUCUGAGAGGAUGAUC
rnacentral:rRNA from 1 species